UACGGGGGGGGCAAGCGUUGUUCGGAAUUACUGGGCGUAAAGGGCGCGUAGGCGGUCUACUAAGUUGGAUGUGAAAACUCUGGGCUUAACCCAGAGCCUGCAUUCAAAACUGAUAGGCUGGAGUUCUGGAGGGGAUAGCGGAAUUCCCGGUGUAGCGGUGAAAUGCGUAGAUAUCAGGAGGAACACCGGUGGCGAAGGCGGCUAUCUGGACAGAAACUGACGCUGAGGCGCGAAAGCCAGGGGAGCAAACGGG
rnacentral:rRNA from 1 species